rnacentral:rRNA from 1 species
CCUACGGGUGGCAGCAGUGAGGAAUAUUGGUCAAUGGGCGCGAGCCUGAACCAGCCAAGUCGCGUGAGGGAAGACGGUCCUAUGGAUUGUAAACCUCUUUUGUCGGGGAGCAAAAGACGCCACGCGUGGCGUUCCGAGAGUACCCGAAGAACAAGCAUCGGCUAACUCCGUGCCAGCAGCCGCGGUAAUACGGAGGAUGCGAGCGUUAUCCGGAUUUAUUGGGUUUAAAGGGUGCGCAGGCGGAAGAUCAAGUCAGCGGUAAAAUUGAGAGGCUCAACCUCUUCGAGCCGUUGAAACUGGUGUUCUUGAGUGAGUGAGAGGUAUGCGGAAUGCGUGGUGUAGCGGUGAAAUGCAUAGAUAUCACGCAGAACUCCGAUUGCGAAGGCAGCAUACCGGCGCGCAACUGACGCUCAUGCACGAAAGCGUGGGUAUCGAACAGGAUUAGAUACCCUGGUAGUC